CCCCACCUGUCCUGGGAUCAACACGGCGUGCAGGAAAAACCAGCUAUCACCUAUCCUGCACACGAGGAGCGCGGAUGCCUGCGUCAUCUGCCGCCUCUGUCCGGGGAAAUUGCUUUCCAUUAUUGAUGGAGCAGUGCUGGAGGCUGUGACCCAGCCACGCCGGGGGCUGCAGGCCCUGCCAGACCCCCACGGCUCCGCAGCAGCUCUGGCUCGAGGGGCACAAAGCAUGGGAAGCGGGCGCUGCCAGGACAGGGCAUGCAGGG
ensembl:lncRNA